rnacentral:lncRNA from 13 species
CAUAAUAUAUAGCAAUACUGGGAAUUUUAAUACCGUCACUAAUCAUUUCAAAUACUCUGACAUCCUUUCACUGUAAUAUUUCUGUAUUUAGUAGAAACUUUUAAAAAAUCAUGUCACUAGCCAACAAAAGUCAUUUCAUACUUAUGAUGUAAUUGUAAGGUAAUAUUUCAGGGUUGUCAAGAUCAAAGACUUGAAAUAUGACUUACAAAAAAAACCAAAAGUUCAAGAGAGACCCCUCUGAAUAACCUUUUAAAGGACCUAAACCAAUAGCAUCUUGUCUUCUGUUUUCCUUGGGGUUUUGGAAACAGAAUCAUACAAAAGAUGCAUUCUCCAGGGGCACAUGAAUUAAAAUUAAAGAGUGAAAAUAAAUAAUCAUAGAUGAAAUUUCUCCCUCUGAUUUAAACAGUGAGAAAUAGAUGUACUCAAUGUGUUGGCAAUAAAAAUAGGAAAACUGUACUCAAAUUGUGAAUUGGGCCUAAUACAAAAAUCUGAAAAUGGAUGUCAUGGAAACCACUUUAUGAUUAUUACGUUGACUGAAGGAAAUAUUUUUUAUGUGUAGGAAUUAUCUGUCUAGGUUAUAUUCCUGGGCUGUAUGGUACAAAACUAUACAUUAUCUUUAAAAAUUAAAAUUCUAUCUGUGCCUUUUUUUUUUUUUUUAAGAGAUGGACUCUUGAUAUAUUGCCCAGACUGGUCUCAAACUCCUGACCUCAAGUGGUUCCAAAGUGCUGGGAUUACAGAUGAGGAAACUGAAGCUCAGAGGGAUGAACUGUCCUGCGAAGGUCCACGGCUAGUACAUAGAGGAGCGCAGAUGCAUGCAGUCCCUCCGACUCGGAUGUCUGUGUACCGUCCUGCCCCCUCCCACUGCAGCCUGCAUCACAGACUGGAGUUAAGAGUGCCACCGUAUUAGGUCUGUCCCAGAGGGAAAGGCCAAGGGGGAGGGUGUAGAGAACAGGAGAGCUUUGCUGUGAUGUGUAGGGUGGGGGUGUUGUGAGGGUAUAUAUUGGAGGUUGUGUAUGAUGGAAAGGCAGCAAGACACUGUCUUAUGCUUAAUUGGUCACUCCUUGGCUGGGGACUUCACUUCUCCCACCAAAGUCCCAACCCUUGCCUGCCACACCCCACUCAUACUGAAGGCGUUGGAGUAGCUGGCCGUCUGUCUCUGUCCUCUCUGACUUUAACGUGGGGCUGGGACAGGCUGCUAGGCUCAGUGCCAGGAAGCAAGACAAGGGGCUUGCAGCAAGGGCUUAGGGUAUAAGCACGUUGGCAUCGGCUGAUGGAUUUAUAAGGGCUCUGCAAUUAGGACAACUCCUAAUUCAAAGAAAUGCAGAAUCUGCUCAAACCUUGCUUUGUAUAGCCUGUUGGAGAGACAUGUGCUAUGUGUGUGUGUGUUUAUAUAUAUAUAUAUACACAUACCAGAUAUUACAUUACUACAAUGAUAAUAUGAGGUAGCUAAUGCUUACAUAAUGCUUCCUAUGUAUCAGACACUAUUUUAAUUUCUCUAUGUAUUAUAAAAUUUAAUCCUCCUAGCGACCCUACAGUAUCUCCUUUUGUUAUCCCCAUUUUGUAGAAGAGGAGCCUGAGGGACAGAGAUGUUAAGUAAUCUAUUCCAGCUAGCUUGGGUGGUAAGAGACAGGCUUCAUAAAUGCAGCCAUGUGCUUUGUAAACCUUGUACCCGUGCCCUUAACCAUGCCAUUGGAUGGCCCUAUCAUCCCAGGCAUGGUGACAGGCAUCUCUGACUCCUGUCCCCAGUGGGACUGAUACUUCUUUCAGGUUCUGAGAUUGUUGAGGCUGGUGAGGCUUCUCAGUUAAAGUAAAAAAGAUUUUGGCUGGGUUUUAUUUAGACCAGAGUUUCCAUGGCUGUUUUGAACAAUCCAGUACUCAGCCUGCUGGCUCUCUGGUGUUUGCAACAAGAGCCAUUUCUAUUGAAAGACUAAGGAAAGAUGGUCCAGGUGAACCCUGGACAGAAGACAAAGGAGGUUAAAGGCAACAUCUUCCCCCCGCUGGCUUGAAAAUCGUCAUCUUUCUCCCCAGGAAUCAAUUUCUUUGCAUCCUGAAUGUUUAAAAAAAAGACUUGUGUCAUUAAAAAUAAAGUUUUUUUUUUAAAGGAAAAAAAGCUAUCU